CUACGGGGGGCAGCAGUGGGGAAUAUUGGACAAUGGGGGAAACCCUGAUCCAGCAAUGCCGCGUGUGUGAAGAAGGCCUGCGGGUUGUAAAGCACUUUCGGUUGGGAGGACUGCUUCUAGCACUAAUAUUGUUGGAAGUUGACGUUACCUUCAGAAGAAGCACCGGCUAACUCCGUGCCAGCAGCCGCGGUAAUACGGGGGUGCAAGCGUUAAUCGGAAUUACUGGGCGUAAAGCGCGCGUAGGCGGCUAGAUCAGUCGGGUGUGAAAGCCCCGGGCUUAACCUGGGAACUGCAUCCGAGACUGGCUAGCUUGAGUACAGGAGAGGAGAGUGGAAUUCCACGUGUAGCGGUGAAAUGCGUAGAUAUGUGGAGGAACACCAAUGGCGAAGGCAGCUCUCUGGCCUGAUACUGACGCUGAGGUGCGAAAGCGUGGGGAGCAAACAGGAUUAGAUACCCCCGUAGUC
rnacentral:rRNA from 1 species